GAGUUUGAUCGUGGCUCAGGACGAACGCUGGCGGCGUGCCUAAUACAUGCAAGUCGAGCGAGUCUCUUCGGAGGCUAGCGGCGGACGGGUGAGUAACACGUAGGCAACCUGCCUCUCAGACCGGGAUAACAUAGGGGAAACUUAUGCUAAAUACCGGAUAGGUUUUUGGAUUGCAUGAUCCGAAAAGAAAAGGUGGCUUUUCGCUAUCACUGGGAGAUGGGCCUGCGGCGCAUUAGCUAGUUGGUGGGGUAACGGCCUACCAAGGCGACGAUGCGUAGCCGACCUGAGAGGUGACCGGCCACACUGGGAC
rnacentral:rRNA from 1 species